rnacentral:rRNA from 1 species
CGGGUGAGUAACGCGUGAGGAACCUGCCUCAAAGAGGGGGACAACAGUUGGAAACGACUGCUAAUACCGCAUAAGCCCACGGCUCGGCAUCGAGCAGAGGGAAAAGGAGCAAUCCGCUUUGAGAUGGCCUCGCGUCCGAUUAGCUAGUUGGUGAGGUAACGGCCCACCAAGGCGACGAUCGGUAGCCGGACUGAGAGGUUGAACGGCCACAUUGGGACUGAGACACGGUCCAG